rnacentral:rRNA from 1 species
AUUGAACGCUGUCGGCAUGCCUUACACAUGCAAGUCGAACGGCAGCACGGGGCAACCUGGUGGCGAGUGGCGAACGGGUGAGUAAUGCAUCGGAACGUACCUUUCAGUGGGGGAUAACGUAGCGAAAGUUACGCUAAUACCGCAUAUUCUGGGAGCAGGAAAGCAGGGGAUCGCAAGACCUUGCGCUGAUUGAGCGGCCGAUGAGAGAUUAGCUAGUUGGUGAGGUAAAGGCUCACCAAGGCGACGAUCUGUAGCGGGUCUGAGAGGAUGAUCCGCCACACUGGAACUGGGACACGGUCCAGACUCCUACGGGAGGCAGCAGUGGGGAAUUUUGGACAAUGGGGGCAACCCUGACCCAGCCAUGCCGCGUGAGUGAAGAAGGCCUUCGGGUUGUAAAGCUCUUUCGGCCGGGAAGAAAUCGCACGGGCUAAUACCCUGUGUGGAUGACGGUACCGGAAUAAGAAGCACCGGCUAACUACGUGCCAGCCGCCGCGGUAAGAC